rnacentral:lncRNA from 1 species
UAUGAUUUGGUCCUUGAAAUUCAUUUUGAAUUUCAAAAUACAUCUGCACCAUCAAUAUUGUUCUCAUCUCUGAUUUCCGACGACUUCUAACCUUGGUGUACGGCGAGUUAUUGUCCGGUUACAUCUUUGCUUCAACUCAAUCUGCGAGCCUCUUCAGCUUUAUCGGCGAGCGUCUUCAGUUUUAUUGUCGAGCCUCUUCAGUUUUAUCGGCGAGCCUCGAUAUCCGAAAAUGGUCGACAAGUCUUUCACACGCACGGAGCCUGCUUCCGCGACCAAGACCGAAAGGUACGUCUACUACUUUUUCUGGGUUUCUCCGUUUGUUGAUGGGCAAAAAUGGUCGUAAAUGGUGUUGUGGUUGUACUGAACUCUGAUUUUACUCCCAACACGCGCGUACUGUCUCUUUAAUUUUGCAGAUCUAGAUAUAAUAUGUUCGCCAAUAAAUUACCUCUAGUUAGUCCGUAGAAAUCGUUUCUGCUCAUUAUGAAAUGGAUGAAAUUACAUUCCACCUCCUUUAUCUUCUUUAUCCGCAAACCGGUUUGGAUAUACGUUUCGUAGAUCUCGCCUACCGAGACUGUCUAUCAACGAUCUAUGUAUCACAAGUAGUCCACUUUAUAAUAGUUAACUACUUGAAAUACAUAGUCUCCUAUUACUUUUCACCUGAGUAGUUAUUUACGAGAACAAUAGAGUUUUCUUUAUCGGUAGUUAACUAAGUGUCUGCUAUGUUUUGAAGAGAUUUGUUAUUAUCGAUAUUUGGGUUUCUUGAUUUUGUAGAUCUAAGUAGCUAACUAUUUUUUUAUACAAGUAUAUAGUAAUUACAUUGAGUAUCAUUGUUAGUAAUUGUCUACUCUUAACAAUGACAACCGAUACAAUAAAUAACUACAACAUUUUCAGUUAGUCUACUUAAUUACUAUGUUCAUGUAACCAAUAAAUAGCUAGGACACACUCAUAAACAAAUGGCAUUUUGUUAUAAAGUAGUUGUCUACUUAUUAGAGUAGGUACCUAUUAAUAUAGUCAACUAUCUUAUUUGGUUAUACCUGAAACCAACCAUGUAGUAGACGUCUAUAUUUGGUUUAAUAUGUAUUCAAUUAUUUUUCCUUUUUAUUUGAUAAUUAACUACUGCGUAAUACUAGACAAUAAAUUGUUUAACAUGUAGUAGUCUACUAGUGGUAGUAGAUUGUUAUUGCAAUAGUAGACUAGAAAGAUUUAGUUGUCUAUUUUUUGAAAUAAUAUUUAUUUCUCUGAUUUACAUGACCGUGUGGUAAAGAUGGAUGUGAGAAGCUGGAUAAGUUGGAUGUAAUCUGUCUGGCUGGUGAAGAGAUGAACUUUGACAAAGGUGAUGAUGAAUCUGAGGGGAACAAUGGAGUCUUGCAUGAUUUUGCAGUGGGGAGAAAGUCAACAUUUUUCUUAGUUAAUAGUCGACUAUUAAUGUCUAUGAUUAAUUUAUCAGAAUAUGCGGUUAUGUAAUAGAUGAUUAUGUUUGGUUUAAUAUGCAUUUAUAGAAAAUAUCUUCCAUAACAUCUUACACUUUUAGAGUGAGAGGAUGUUCGUUUGAG